UACGUAGGGGGGCAAGCGUUUGUCCGGAUUUAUUGGGCGUAAAGCGCGUGUAGGCGGCUAGAUAGGUCCGCUGUGAAAACUUGAGGCUCAACCUCAAGAGGUCGGUGGAAAUCACUUGGCUAGAGUCCGAAAAGAGGAGAGUGGAAUUCCUGGUGUAGCGGUGAAAAUGCGCAGAUAUCAGGAAGAACACCAAUGGCGAAGGCAGCUCUCUGGGACGGUACUGACACUGAGACGCGAAAAGCGUUGGGG
rnacentral:rRNA from 1 species